AAUAGCCUAACGGCUGAACCAGCAACUUGAAGGAAUGUAUAGCGAAAGCUAAUUGUGCUUAACUGUUAUAUCAGUUGAUGCAAUAUUGAUUCGAUCAAAUAAAGUUCUAGGUAGAAUUAUGAUAAUGACAUUAUCUAUCUAUGUGUCUUGACCAAAUUACGUGCCAGCAGUCGCGGUAAUACGUAAAAGACUAGUGUUAUUCAUCUUGAAUAGGUUUAAAGGGUACCUAGACGGCUAAUAAAGCUUCAAAAAAGUACUAAUUAGCUAGAGUUUAAUAUAAGGAGGCAUUAAAGUACUGAGAACGUAGAGAGAUGAAAUUCUGUGAUACUAUAUAUGGCACUGGUAAAGGCGAAAGCAUCCUAUUAUGUAAUAACUGACGUUGAGGGACGAAGGCUGUGUGUAGCAAAAAGGAUUAGAUACCCAAGUAGUCUCAGCAGAAAAUGAUGAAUGUCAUAGUAUAGAUAACAUUUGUACUAUAAAUGAAAGUGUAAGCAUUCCACCUUAAGAGUAAUUUGGCAACAUUGGAACUGAAAUCAUUAGACCGUUUCUGAAACAAGUAGUGAAGUAUGUUGUUUAAUUUGAUGAUCCGCAAAGAACCUCACCACAAUUUGAAUAUAAAAAUUAUUUAUACAAGCGCUGCACGGUUGUCUUCAGUUAAUGUCGUGAGAUUUUGGUUAGCUCCAUUAAAUUAACGUAAACCCUUACUUUAUUUUGUUAUAGAGUAGUUCACCGCUAUAUUGGAUAUGAUAAUAGGGACUAAGACAAGUCAUCAUGGCCUUAAUAUUGUGGGCUAUAGACGUGCCACAUAUGCCUUUACAAAGGGAUGCAAAAUUGUGAAAUUGAGCUAAUCCCCUAAAAUUGGAUAGAAGCUUAAU
rnacentral:rRNA from 1 species